GAUGAACGCUGGCGGCGUGCCUAAUACAUGCAAGUCGAGCGAACAGACGAGGAGCUUGCUCCUUUGACGUUAGCGGCGGACGGGUGAGUAACACGUGGGUAACCUACCUAUAAGACUGGGAUAACUUCGGGAAACCGGAGCUAAUACCGGAUAAUAUUUCGAACCGCAUGGUUCGAUAGUGAAUGAUGGCUCUGCUAUCACUUAUAGAUGGACCUGCGCCGUAUUAGGUAGUUGGUAAGGUAACGGCUUACAAAGGCAACGAUACGUAGCCGACCUGAGAGGGUGAUCGGCCACACUGGAACUGAGACACGGUCCAGACUCCUACGGGAGGCAGCAGUAGGGAAUCUUCCGCAAUGGGCGAAAGCCUGACGGAGCAACGCCGCGUGAGUGAUGAAGGUCUUCGGAUCGUAAAACUCUGUUAUUAGGGAAGAACAAACGUGUAAGUAACUGUGCACGUCUUGACGGUACCUAAUCAGAAAGCCACGGCUAACUACGUGCCAGCCGCCGCGGUAA
rnacentral:rRNA from 1 species